GUGCUUACUUCAGCAGCACAUACAGUAAAAUUGGAAUGAUACAGAGAAGAUUAGCAUGGCUCCUGUGCAAGGAUGACAUGCAGAUUCGUAAAGAAUUCAUAUUUUAG
rnacentral:snRNA from 1 species